CCUGUUACAACCUGACAAGAAGAACGCAAAACAGCAAAAAAACCUUCUUCCUGGAAGAUUUUUGGCCGUCUUUCAGUUUCAUGCUCUCCUCCUGCUUCCUUUCCUCCCUCCUUUCCUACUAUUAAACCCCGGCGGCACUUCCUCAACUGGUCGGGAUUUGAAUUUGGUGGAGAGAGUUGAGAAAUUGGAGGAGGAUCUGAGAAGCUCUGCAACAAUAAUACGGGGCUUGUCGCGGUAGCUCGAGAAGCUCGGGAUUAGGUUUCGGCUUACUCGGAAAGCAUUGAAAGAACCAAUAGCUGAGACUGCAGUCUUGGCUCAGAAGAAUUCAGAGGCCACCCGUGCAUUAGCAGCUCAAGAGGACAUUCUUGAGAAGGAGCUGGGUGAAAUUCAAAAGGUUUUGCAGGCUAUGCAAGUAAUUUAUUGUGACGUGAAAAUGUAAUACAUAGUUUACUUGGAGACUGAAUAUUCAGAUGUCAGUUGACUUGUGGAGUACUUGAAUAACUCCAAAAACAGUCUUUAGUAUGUUAGGAUCAUCGGGAAAUUUUUUCCUAUGCUGUUGAUUGUGUCGAAGUUGUUUAAACAUUGUUUUUUUUUUCUGUUUUUGGCAUUAAUUUUAUAAUUUCAGAAUUUGAGCCGGGCCAGUAACUUCUACUUGUCUCUGCUCUUCUUUGUUUUA